GAUGAACGCUAGCGAUAGGCUUAACACAUGCAAGUCGAGGGGCAGCAUGGUCUUAGCUUGCUAAGACUGAUGGCGACCGGCGCACGGGUGCGUAACGCGUAUGCAACUUGCCUCACAGAGGGGGAUAACCCGUCGAAAGACGGACUAAUACCGCGUACACUCCAUCUUGGGCAUCCAAGGUAGAGGAAAUGAAAUUCGCUGUUAGAUAGGCAUGCGUCCCAUUAGCUAGUUGGUGAGGUAACGGCUCACCAAGGCGACGAUGGGUAGGGGAACUAAGAGGUUGAACCCCGAGACUGGUACUGGGACAAGGACCAGACGCGUACGGGAGGCAGCAGUGAGGAAUAUAGGGAAAUGGGCGAGAGCCUGAACCAGCGAAGUAGCGUGAAGGAGGACUGUCUUAUGGAUUGUAAACUUCUUUGAUACGGGAAUAACAAGAGUCACGUGUGAAUAACUGCAGGUACCGGAUGAAUAAGCAACGGCUAACUCCGUG
rnacentral:rRNA from 1 species